rnacentral:tRNA from 1 species
GCCCAAGUGGCGGAAUGGCAGACGCGCCAGGUUGAGGGCCUGGUGGGGAGUAUUCCCCAUGGAGGUUCGAGUCCUCUCUUGGGCA